rnacentral:rRNA from 1 species
GACGAACGCUGGCGGCGUGCCUAAUACAUGCAAGUCGAACGCAGUGGGGACGGGUGAGUAACACGUGGGUAACCUCCCAUCAGAGGGGAUAACACUUGGAAACAGGUGCUAAACCGAUACUGAUGGAGGUACCCGCGGUGCAUUAGCUAGGUGGUGAGGUAACGGCUCACCAAGGCCACGAUGCAUAGCCGCCCUGAGAGGCUGAUCGGCCACACUGGAACUGAGACACGGCCCAUACUCCUACGGGAGGCAGCAGUAGGGAUUCUUCGGCAAUGGCCGAAAGUCUGACCGAGCAACGCCGCGUGAGUGAAGACGGUUUUCGGAUCGUAAAACUCUGUUGUUAGAGAAGCGGUAUCUACCCAGAAAGCCACGGCUAACUACGUGCCAGCAGCCGCGGUAAUUC